rnacentral:rRNA from 1 species
CCAGCAGCCGCGGUAAUUCCAGCUCCAAUAGCGUAUAUUAAAGUUGUUGCAGUUAAAAAGCUCGUAGUUGGAUCUCGGGUCCCGGGCUUGCGGUCCGGCGCAUGUCGGUCAACUGCUCGUCCCGGCCCAGUCUUCCCGGUUCUCUGCCCUUGGUGCUCUUGACUGAGUGUCUCGGGUGGCCGGAACGUUUACUUUGAAAAAAUUAGAGUGUUCAAAGCAGGCCUACGCUUGAAUACAUUAGCAUGGAAUAAUGGAAUAGGACUUUGGUGCUAUUUCGUUGGUUAAUGGGACCGAAGUAAUGAUUAAAAGGGACAGUUGGGGCCGUUUAUAUUUCGUUGUCAGAGGUGAAAUUCUUGGAUUUACGAAAGAUAAACUUCUGCGAAAGCAUUCGGCAAGGAUCUUUUCAUUGAUCAAGAACGAAAGU